rnacentral:rRNA from 1 species
UACGUAGGGGGCUAGCGUUGUCCGGAAUCAUUGGGCGUAAAGCGCUUGUAGGCGGUCCGGCAAGUCCGCUGUGAAAGUCGGGGGCUCAACCCUCGGAUGCCGGUGGAUACUGUCGGGCUUGAGUACGGAAGAGGCGAGUGGAAUUCCUGGUGUAGCGGUGAAAUGCGCAGAUAUCAGGAGGAACACCAAUUGCGAAGGCAGCUCGCUGGGACGUUACUGACGCUGAGACGCGAAAGCGUGGGGAGCAAACAGG